AUACGAAGGGUGCAAGCGUUACUCGGAAUUACUGGGCGUAAAGCGUGCGUAGGUGGUUGUUUAAGUCUGUCGUGAAAGCCCUGGGCUCAACCUGGGAAUGGCGAUGGAAACUGGGCGACUAGAGUGUGGCAGAGGGUAGUGGAAUUCCUGGUGUAGCAGUGAAAUGCGUAGAGAUCAGGAGGAACAUCCGUGGCGAAGGCGACUGCCUGGGCCAACACUGACACUGAGGCACGAAAGCGUGGGGAGCAAACAGGAUUAGAUACCCUGGUAGUCCACGCCCUAAACGAUGCGAACUGGAUGUUGGGUGCAAUUUGGCACGCAGUAUCGAAGCUAACGCGUUAAGUUCGCCGCCUGGGGAGUACGGUCGCAAGGCUGAAACUCAAAUGAAUUGACGGGG
rnacentral:rRNA from 1 species